GGUUAAAAAGCUCGUAGUUGGAUUUCGGCGGGCAUUGGUUGGUUUGAAUUGUUUCAACACUGACUAUUUUGCCCGUGUGUUUUGCCAGAAUUUAACGGGUGCUCUUCGCCGAGUGUCUGUUAGAGCUGGCAGGUUUACUUUGAAAAAAUUAGAGUGCUCAAAGCAAGCUUAAUCGCUUGAAUAUUCGUGCAUGGAAUAAUAGAAUAGGAAGUCGUUUCUAUUUUGUUGGUUUUCGGAAAUCGACUUAAUGAUUAAUAGGGACAGUCGGGGGCAUUUGUAUUCAAACGACAGAGGUGAAAUUCUUGGACCGUUUGAAGACAAACUACUGCGAAAGCUUUUGCCAAGAAUGUUUUCAUUAAUCAAGAACGAAAGUUAGAGGUUCGAAGGCGAUUAGAUACCGCCCUAGUUCUAACCAUAAACGAUGCCAGCUAGCGAUCUGUCGGCGUUUUAUUUUGACUUGACAGGGAGCUUCCGGGAAACCAAAGCGUGUGGGUUCCAGGGGAAGUAUGGUUGCAAAGCUGAAACUUAAAGGAAUUGACGGAAGGGCACCACCAGGAGUGGAGCCUGUGGCUUAAUUUGACUCAACACGGGAAAUCUCACCAGGCCCGGACACCAGAAGGAUUGACAGAUUGAUAGCUCUUUCUUGAUUUGGUGGGUGGUGGUGCAUGGCCGUUCUUAGUUGGUGGAGUGAUUUGUCUGCUUAAUUGCGAUAACGAACGAGACUCUAUCCUGCUAAAUAGACGCAGCCUUCAUUUCGGGCUGCGAUUCUUCUUAGAGGGACUGGCGAUUAUUAGUCGCACGAGAUUGAGC
rnacentral:rRNA from 1 species